CUAUAAUGCAGUCGAGCGAACAGAUGAGAAGCUUGCUUCUCUGAUGUUAGCGGCGGACGGGUGAGUAACACGUGGGUAACCUACCUAUAAGACUGGGAUAACUCCGGGAAACCGGGGCUAAUACCGGAUAAUAUUUUGAACCGCAUGGUUCAAUAGUGAAAGACGGUUUCGGCUGUCACUUAUAGAUGGACCCGCGCCGUAUUAGCUAGUUGGUAAGGUAAUGGCUUACCAAGGCGACGAUACGUAGCCGACCUGAGAGGGUGAUCGGCCACACUGGAACUGAGACACGGUCCAGACUCCUACGGGAGGCAGCAGUAGGGAAUCUUCCGCAAUGGGCGAAAGCCUGACGGAGCAACGCCGCGUGAGUGAUGAAGGUCUUCGGAUCGUAAAACUCUGUUGUUAGGGAAGAACAAAUUUGUUAGUAACUGAACAAGUCUUGACGGUACCUAACCAGAAAGCCACGGCUAACUACGUGCCAGCAGCCGCGGUAAUACGUAGGUGGCAAGCGUUAUCCGGAAUUAUUGGGCGUAAAGCGCGCGUAGGCGGUUUCUUAAGUCUGAUGUGAAAGCCCACGGCUCAACCGUGGAGGGUCAUUGGAAACUGGGAAACUUGAGUGCAGAAGAGGAGAGUGGAAUUCCAUGUGUAGCGGUGAAAUGCGCAGAGAUAUGGAGGAACACCAGUGGCGAAGGCGGCUCUCUGGUCUGUAACUGACGCUGAUGUGCGAAAGCGUGGGGAUCAAACAGGAUUAGAUACCCUGGUAGUCCACGCCGUAAACGAUGAGUGCUAAGUGUUAGGGGGUUUCCGCCCCUUAGUGCUGCAGCUAACG
rnacentral:rRNA from 1 species